CCUAGGGGGGGCAGCAGUGAGGAAUAUUGGUCAAUGGGCGCGAGCCUGAACCAGCCAAGUCGCGUGAGGGAUGACGGUCCUACGGAUUGUAAACCUCUUUUGCCGGGGAGCAAGCGUGCGUUCGUGAACGCGCGUCGAGAGUACCCGGAGAAAAAGCAUCGGGUAACUCCGUCCCAGCAGCGCCGGUAAUACGGAGGAUGCGAGGUUUAUCCGGAUUUAUUGGGUUUAAGGGGUGCUAAGGCGGGGUGCCAAGUCAGCGGUAAAAAUGCGGUGUCCAACGCCGUCGAGCCGUUGAAACUGGGGUUCUUGAGUGGGGGAGAGGUAGGCGGAAUGCGUGGUGUAGCGGUGAAAUGCGUAGAUAUUAGGAGGAACACCGAUGGCGAAGGCGGCCUGCUGGACUGUGACUGACGUUGAGGCCCGAAGGUGUGGGGAGCAAACAGGAUUAGAUACCCGAGUAGUC
rnacentral:rRNA from 1 species